rnacentral:rRNA from 1 species
UUAAUACCGGAUAGAUCAAAGAUACUGGAAUGUUCUCUGGUCCAAAACUCCGGUGCCCAAGGAUGGGUCUGCGGCCUAUCAGGUAGUAGUGGGUGUAACGUACCUACUAGCCAGCGACGGGUAAGGGUUGUGAGAGCAAGAUCCCUGAGAUGGAUUCUGAGACAUGAAUCCAGGCCCUACGGGGUGCAGCAGGCGCGAAAACUUUACACUGCGGGAAACCGCGAUAAGGGGACCCCGAGUGCCAGCACCUAGUGCUGGCUGUCCUACUGUCUAAAUAACAGUGGUUAGCAAGGGCCGGGCAAGACCGGUGCCAGCCGCCGCGGUAACACCGGCGGCCCGAGUGGUAACCGUUUUUAUUGGGUUUAAAGGGUCCGUAGCCGGCUUAUUAAGUCUCUUGGGAAAUCUGGCGGCUCAAUCGUCAGGCGUUA